UAGGGAAUAUUGGUCAAUGGGCGCAAGCCUGAUCCAGCCAUGCCGCGUGAGUGAUGAAGGCCUUCGGGUCGUAAAACUCUUUUCUGAGGGAAGAACAUCCUGCGUAGGAAAUGACGCGGGCUUGACGGUACCUUAGGAAUAAGCAACGGCUAACUCCGUGCCAGCAGCCGCGGUAAUACGGAGGUUGCAAGCGUUGUUCGGAAUGACUGGGCGUAAAGGGAGCGCAGGCGGUUGGGAAAGUCCAAAGUGAAAGCCCGGGGCUCAACCCCGGAAGUGCUGUGGAUACUGCCUUACUCGAGUUCGGUAGAGGAAAGCGGAAUUCCAGGUGUAGCGGUGAAAUGCGUAGAUAUCUGGAGGAACACCGGUGGCGAAAGCGGCUUUCUGGCACGAUACUGACGCUGAGGCUCGAAAGCGUGGGGAGCAAACA
rnacentral:rRNA from 1 species